rnacentral:rRNA from 1 species
CCUACGGGAGGCUGCAGUAGGGAAUCUUCCACAAUGGGCGAAAGCCUGAUGGAGCAACGCCGCGUGGGUGAAGAAGGUCUUCGGAUCGUAAAACCCUGUUGUUAGAGAAGAAAGUGCGUGCGAGUAACUGUUCACGUUUCGACGGUAUCUAACCAGAAAGGCACGGCGAACUACGUGCCAGCAGCCGCUGUAAUACGUAGGUGGCAAGUGUUAUCCGGGUUUAUUGGGCGUAAAGGGAACGCAGGGGGGCUGUUAAGUGUGAUGUGAAAGGCUUCGGCUUAACCGGAGUAGUGCAUUGGAAACUGGCAGACGUGAGUGCAGAAGAGGAAGGUGGAACUCGAUGUGUAGCGGUGAAAUGCGUAGAUAUAUGGAAGAACACCAGUUGCGAAGGCAGCUCUCUGGUCUGUAACUGACGCUGAGGUUCGAAAGCGUGGGUAGCAAACAGGAUUAGAUACCCGAGUAGUC